AUGCGCGGGCCGGGGCGCAGGAGGCCGCGGCCGCCCGCGCAGCCUCGCUCGAGCCGGUCUCCGUGGCAACGGGCUCGCGGGGGGGGAGGGGCCGGGCGGCGUGGGCUGCGGCGGCUGCUAUUUCUGCCGCUUCCUGUUCCUCGCGGCCACGUCGCCAUGGCAACGGUGUUACUCACCGCGGCCGCUUCCCGGCUCGGCUGGCGCGCGUGACCCCGGCCGCCCGCGCCCCCUCGUCUCUCACUCGCUGCGCUGCCGCUCUCCCCCCCCCACCCCCCCCCCCCCCCCCCCGCGGCGUCCUCCUCCGGCACCCCGGUCCAUCCAGCGCGCCCCGGCGCCCCAUCCUUCCCCUGCUCCCCGCCCCUCUCCGCCGGUGCCCGCGGCUCUCGGGAGGGAGGGGGGGGGUGGGAGGGCGGCAGAUUGAUGGGGGACGCUUAUUAAAAAACAUUGUAACCGUUUCCGUUUUUAUUACGUUGACAAGGGAGCGUUAUUUACUGUUAUUGUUUGCCGAGCUGGCCGCGCCCGAGCGCGGGCGGCCGCCCGGGAGCUCACCUUUCGGGCGGGCCCGGGGAAGUCGCGGGUGGGAGCGGGAGGCGGGGGCUGGCGAGGGGCCGCCCCGGGCGGACGCGGCCCCCCCCCGGGGGGCCUGCCCCUCGCCCCUUCCCCCCCCCACCCCUCCAGCCAGCCCCGGGCCGACCCCCGCCGCGGCGCGUGUGCGUGCGCGCGCGGGGCGAGACUGCAGAGGCCGGGGACUCGUGCUGAAGGAGAGAGGCAACAAAAAAUAAAAAAAGGAACAGAUGACUUCAUUCCCGGGAAGGCUCCGUCCUACGUGGACCAAUUUCCUGGGGACUGUGGUGGAACAGCUCCGCUGCCGUUGGAAGCACUUAAAACUAAACCAGUAAAAGACCAGAAAAUUCUUCAGCAUUGCCUGAACCCAGCGAGGGCAGGUCUGGAGACCAGGAUUCCAGAAUGAGAUGUCAGCAGGGCCGUGCUCCCUCUGGAGGUACCAGAGAAGGAACGUUCCAGGCCUCUCUCUGGGCUUCCGGGGCCUCAGGGGGCGGGUUCAGGCUCCGAGCUGUCAGCACAGAGCCCUACGCGGGGCUCGAACCCACGAACCGUGAGAUCAUGACCUGAGCCGGAAGCCGGACGCUUAAACGACUGGGCCC